rnacentral:pre_miRNA from 1 species
CAGGGUGACCAGCCAUCCUGGUUUGCCUGGGACAGUUCCGUCUUCAGCACUGAAAGAUCUGUGUCCUGGGAAACCCCUCAGUCCCGUGCAAGCUGGGAUGGUUGGUCACCCUAACAGCGU